rnacentral:lncRNA from 1 species
GAGACAACAUCGUAUCAUAAAUGUUCACAUCAUGUUCAUUGAUUAAAGUAAAGCAAUAGAAUGAAGUUAACCAUAAUAAUCCAAAAGGUAAUCAAGGACAAGGUAAAUACAAAGCUAGUCAAUCCUUGUUGAUCAUGGUAUGCGGGUUGAUGAAUUAUAAAGUAAAUGGGACAUAAUAGGUCAGAGGACACCUGCCUUCACCAAACAGAUGCUCAGGAUCUUCAACCUCAUAAAACUCAGAGAGCUUGAUCACUUGGUCGCCGACGCUUGAUCGUCGAUUCCUCGGAGCGCGGAAACAAAUCGCGAUCUAAUCGCAACGCGAAGCGAAGACAAACAGGAACGAACAAACAAACAUAUAUGCAUAAGAACAUUACACCAUACAAAUGAAAAUAUAAUAAAAUAUGCAAAACGAAAUAGAGCGCGUUACUAUGGUCACACGAGGGAAAAGAAACGCGACAGGCGGAGCUAUGAUCGAGAGGUUAUCGCGUCUACACUAAACGAGUAUUAAUCAUAACAUUUAGUUUGACCUGAUUAUAUUAAUCGAUAUUUAUUUAAAACGAAACUAGAGCUAUCGCACAGUUUUAAUUAGCUGACCACACUAACAAUUCUUAGUUAAAUAAGUAAUUUAAAUAACAUCAACGACUCUAAGCGGGACGAAUUAGUGGAGUGAGACGAAAUACGUAACGCGUGAAACAACACGACUGCACGAGACCUAGCGCGCGCACCACGCGCGACAAGCGCGAACAACGUGACGACGACGAACUCAACACGACAGCGUGCAAACGACGCGCGGACACGCACGACAUAGCACGCUGACGACACACGAAACAACACGCGCGACCAUCGCGAACGAGAAUGCCACCACGUGCGGAACAGCACACGCGACAGGUGAUAAAACUAAAUAGGUGACACGUUUAUACUAAACCAAUGUUAAAUAUAUAAAGUAGUUAAGUUAAUAUUUGCUAUGUUAAUAUUUAUUAUAAAAGAUCAAGUGGAACACUACACAUUUAAUCUAGUUAGCAUAUUAAUCUAAUAACCAUUAGUCGAGCGAUAUUAAAUAAAUUAUUUAAAAUAUAUGACCUGAUAAAUUAAUGUUAUUUAACCUAAGUGAUUAUAAGCGGAAGAAAUUUACCAUCACGAGCAGGCGCCGCGCGACCCACGUGAUCGACACGCGAGACGCGCGACACACGCGAAAGGCGUGUGAAAACGCAUGAAUGGCACACGCGAUGCACGCACAUGACGUGUGACGACACGUGAUACUGUACGAAGCAGCGCGCGGCCGGCAAGCGAUACAAUGCGCACGACAACGCGCGAGUCAACGUGACUACGCGCGUGAACAGCGCGAUGUCGCGCAAACGACGCUGCGCGAGAACAACAAAUGGAUAAUUAAUUAAAAGUAUUUAAGCCGGUAUUAAUCAAGUUAAUUAAUAUUUAUAUUCAUAACAGCACGAGUUAAAACUAUAGACUCGUUCUAGUUAAACUGUUAUCUUAAGUAGCAAACGACUAAACAAUAAUUGACUAAUUAGCGCGAGCGACAAUAGCGGAGAUAAUUAAAUAACGCGCUGACAACGCGCGAGACCCACGCGAUCGACAAGAGAUGACACCCGUUGCGACAUGUUUCUACUAACAAGCAUAAAUUCGAUAAUAUUCGAGCAGGCGUAAUUAUAUUAACAAGUAUCUAUAAAGUGAAUCAAAGUAUACGUUAGUUUGAUUAGAUUGCUACUUUUAGUAACUGUCGGAUAAAUAAAUAAUCGAUUAAUUAGCUAAAACGCGUAUCACGGUGAAAUAAUGUCAUCAACACGAUGGCGACGAGGUUAUGAAGUUAACGCGAUUAAAGCGAGUCGAAACGGAUUUACGACAUAUGGUUUAUUGAAUAGGUAACAAUUCACGAAUGAUAAACGAUGCAACAUAUGAGAACCGCUAAACACACGUCAUAAUCACACUAAGUAAUGUUGAAUCAAAACAUUUGAUUACUAUUAAUCAUAUUAACGUUUAUUUAUAAAUGCAUAAAUUAAAACUAUAAAUUAGAUUUAAUUGGAAGGUCGUUCUAAUAACCACUAAAUGAAUAAUUAAUUAAUUAUAACCUGUGUCACGACAAAACAAUGUUACUAAUAUGCACUUUAUUUGUUAUAAAGUUAACGCUACUGAAACGGGUCAAAGCGGAUUUAUAAUGCGAAAAGAUAUGAAUAGUUACCGAAUUGAGCUAUGUGGCGCAAUAUAAUUGGUUGAGGGAUUAACCACCUAGUGGGCCAUAAGAACCUGUCCAUAGAAAAUCCUGCACGGUAGAAGUGGCCAAAGAAAAGUCCUAAAACGUGGCCACGUUCCCUGGGGUUGUUUUCAUGCAUGCGCCCAAGAGGUUUCUCACGGCAUGCAUGAGCACAUGGGUGGGCCCACCAGCCGUUUCUCACACGGUUUCUUCGUUUUCUGGCUCUGCCCGGACGAAACGAAUCGCACCAGCGGUCCCUCUUCUUCCUUCGACCUUCUUGGACCAACCAACACAGCCACAGCAAGGGAGAGAAAGAAGGAUGCCCUCUACCGUCCGGCUAGGCUUCGCCAUUGGGCUGCUCGGCCAAUCGCCGCCAACUCGCUGGCCGGAUUGACGACAGCGCAUGACCGGGCGCGCAGCAAGACCAGGAACAAGGCGUUUAGCGGCACAUGGCUGGGAGCUAGCGUUCGGUGAUGUGCAAAGCGGGUGGGACGCGGACCUCGUGGGCUGGAUGCGACCAGCAGCGGCGGAGGCCGGAGCGGUGCUACAACGCGCGGCUGGGGCAGGAAGCCCGCGAGUAGCGGCUCUACAGCGACGCUGGCGUUGCUCGGCUCGCCGGGGCAAGACGGCGAAGCACGACCAGACCGCGGGAGCAGGGACGCACGUGUGCAGGGAAGGAAGGGAGAGAGGAGAGCUCACCUCGGCAACGGCUCCACGCAGGCUCCUCGGCGGACGACGUCGAGUGCGGGCGAGACAGCUCUGCUGUCAUCCAGAGCAGGCGACUGGCACUCGACCGACGCAAGGGCAUCACCGGAGGACCGAGAUCGGCUGGGAUGGGGAUGGCCGCCGCCAUGGCCACAGCUAGGGGCUGCAGCCGGCCGGCUGCCGUGCGUAGAGGCCCAUCCCUGCCUUGCUGCGUCCGUGGGGGCGAUCUGCGCAGGAUCUUAGCAGGGGCCUCGGGUGGGCGGUUGCGAGCAAAUCACGUCAUGGGUGCACUAGGCGGUUCCUUCGGAGAAGAGGAACAGUAUCUGGGCGACCGUGACGCGCGGACGCCAGGAAAAUCUGGGAUGCGCUGGCCAUUGCGUGGGGGAAAUUUGUGGGCCGCAGGGGGAAAACGGCUUGGGCCGCGGCGCGUGCGAGCGUUCCUGCGCGGAGCGCGUAGCGUGCACGGAAGUGGGCCAGCGGGGGCGCUGGGCCGCAGCAGGCCAAGCAGGCGAGGGUGUGGGGCUGGGCCAGCGGAGGGGCGCUGGGCCGCCGGGGUCGAGCUGGGCCACGCGCUCGAUUGGGCUGCGCAGGGAGGAGGCAUGGCGCUGGGCCAGCGGGGUGGGCUGAGGGAGGCUUCUUUUCCUUUUGUUUUUCUUCAUUUUCUAUUUCUUCUCUUUUCUAUUUUCCUACUAACAAAUUUAUUUACAAUAAAUGAGCUACAUAUUAAAUGGAUACACACCAAAGCAAAACAUCACACAAAAACAAAUAUAUAUUUCCGCAUGAUGCAUCAAUCAUUAUUCCUUUAGGGUUUUAUUUUACUAGACUUAUAAAUAUAUAAAACAAAAUAACUCCCCACUAUUUAGGAAAAGGAAAAGAAAAAUUAAGGAAAAGAGAGGGUAGCACCUGAAUUUGGUGGAUAUUAGAAAAGAAAUUUUAUACCCCCAAAUUCAGGGUGUUACAAAUCUAACCCCCUUAACAGGAAUCUCGCCCUCGAGAUUCAAGAAGAGGCUAGGAAGAAAAUGAGAUUGGUUCAUUGAUCUUACACAGCUUCUUCUAACUCAGCUUUGGCUCUGCCAGCUUUAACUUGUAGACUGGUUGCUUUGACCUUCAGAUGUUUGAGACUAAUUGAUGCAAUUCUUGAGGAUCUCAUGGGCCUGUGGGUUAGGACCCACACACGCUUCCGUUGCGCCACUCUGAUUUUGUGGGUUGAUGUUGAUCGCAUUGUAUUGAUUGGGGUUAGCGGCUAACCCCCUUAACAGGAGCGUUGAUAUGCAUUUGGUGAAGAUGUUGCCGACUCUGACCUUGACCGAUUUGGAGGAGUUGGAGGUUUCCAAAUGGACAAGUGCAAGAGGAAAAGAUAGAGAGAAAAGGUAAGUAUAGACGGAUUAGAGAGAGCAGGGGAGAGAACCCAAUUACCUAACUAUAUGGCACUCACCUAGCAAACUGAUGCCAUUGCGGACCAAAGGCCACAACACGCUACACUCAUUUCAAAGAAGCAAAUCAGUCAUAACACAAAGACAAACAUCACGAGCACACAACAACAAACAUCUUGUUGCUACACGUUAAUGUUAAAUAGAUGGUGGUCUUUCCUUAAAAAGGGAAACUACUCUAAAGCCAUCAAAAGGUAAGGGGAAUCAUAAGACAUGGAGGGUAGGGGCAUGAGCAUAAUAAAGGAUGGAGCCAAAGCAAGGAUUGAAAUCGACAAGGGAGAAAAUGUCACCAAGGGCAGGGUAGGUAAACACCAUUCUCAAAUCGAGAUGGGAAAGAUGAUAAUUCAAAAGGUAGGCAUAAGAUAAGCAUCAUGGAAAGAUCAAGUGAUUACAAAGGUACAGGAGGUAAUAGGCGAAAGCACAUCAAAAGAUCGAGCUAAGACAAGACUUGUAAGGCGACAAGGAGGAAAAAGAAAUCAAGGGAGAGAUAGGUAACUCACGGCUCUCAAACUGGGUUGAAAGAAAUGGGAGACUUUUAAAGGAUAAGUUCAAAGUAAGCAUUUAUGUGGAAGGCCUCAAUAUCACAAGGGUAAAAGGCGAUAAUAGGCAAGGGCAUAAGGGAAAAGACGAAAGCACAGAAGAGCUAGUGGUAUAAGUACAACAAAGAAUGGAGGUAUGUCAAGGCUUGCACGGUAAAGAAGAGGAUAUAGCCAAGGGUGAGGUAAGUAAAACAUAGCUCUCGAAUUAGGAUCGAAAAGAGGAGAUUUCAACAAGUAGACCUAAGAUAAGUAUCAAGGCAAGAUCUACAGAUUACAAAGGUAAGGAUGAUAUCAAACAAAAUCUCAACAAAGGAUGAAGUUAAGGUGAGGCAAGAUUGCAAAGCGACAAAGGGAAAGGAAACGAACAAGGGCGGGGUAGGGAAAACAACACUCUCGGAUUGAAAUGGAAUAAGUGAGGCUAAGGAAAAUAGGUAAACAUCAUGGUAAAUAUGGAGAGAGGUCAAGGGUCAAAGGUGAUAAUAGGCAAGGAUAUAAAGGAAGAGGUAAAUGUGCAUAAAAACCAGGAAUCUAGGUACAACCAAGAAUAGAGUUAAGAUAAGUCUUGCAAUUGGUAAAGUAUAGGAUAUAUCCACGGGUGAGAUAAGUAAGAGACCACGCUUGAACUAAGGUGGGAGAUUGGAGGUUUUAGAUAACGAACAUAGUGUAACCGCCAAGGUAAGAUUGAGAGAUGAGAAGGGUAAAGGCAAUAAGAAACAAAAGCACAACAAAGGAUGAGGUUACAAACUCGCGAGCCAAAGAAGAGGAUACGACCAAGAGAAAGGAGGUAUGAGAUGGAAGAGGGGCGAUUUUAAAGGGCAGGUAUGAGAUGAACAUCAAUGUAAUAUAUAGAAGUGUCAAGGGUAAAGGUGAUAAUAACAAAGAGCAUAGUAAAGGAUGGAGCUAAGGCAAGCCUCACGAAAUGGCGGGAUGGAGAAAACAAUCAUGGGUAAGGUAGGUAAGGUUCCAACAUAAUGGUUUGGUAAAAGAAAUUAUUACCGAGGGAAGUUAUAAGGAAUUAAUGAGAUCACCAAGGAUGUGCAAAAUAAAAUGACCGCUCAUGGAUCAUUAAGAAACAAGGGUGAUCAAGGGCAUGUUAACUGAAAUGUCUUAAACAGACAUUGGGGUAUGAAGAUAAGCAUACACAAAAAUAUAAGAGUAUGCAAGACUCAAAGGAUACGAGCGUACUAAGACCAAGGUAAUAGAAAUUGUCGAAAGAUAGCGUCUUAACAACAGAAUAAGAAAGGAUCUCAGAAGACAAGAAGGUCAUAGACACAUAAACUGAACUGUUUAAAUAGGCAACAGAGGUACAAGGGUAAGUGCUUUAGAUUAAGGGAUAAGGGUAUUAAAAAUGCAAGGAUACGAGCAUGUCAAUAACAAAAUGGAAUAGAGAUGGUCAAAUAGUAGCAAUUUAAUAAUGGAUGAGGAAAGAGUCCCAAAAGACUAAAGGCUACGGUCAGGGGCAUCUACAAAGAUGUCGCAAGCACAAGAUGAGAUCAGAUCUAAUAGUUUGAGAGAAGUAUAGACCAUACUAGAAUAAAAUACUUUUUGGCAAGGGGCAUAUAGGAGCACAACAUAGAAUUAGUCGAGGUGACUAAUAUUUUGAAGCAGAAUCAAGGAUGAGAUGAAGUAAUAAUCAAUAAGUCCUUAAAACGGCCAAUGCUACUCUAGGUCAGCGGUCCUACAGUCAGCACGGCUUUGAUACCACUUAUGUCACACCCGGUUUUAGAAGGUAAACCGAAUGCGAACCAUGUACGUGCCAGGAUCAGAAAUUCACGUACACAGCGAUUACAUAAAUGACUCUUCAUAGCACAAUGCUUCGAAUAACAAUAAAGAAUAAAUAAUGAUAUUAAAUACUAGAGUCAUUUACAUAAUAUGAAUCAAAGUACACAGAAUAGAAACGUAGCUAACGUAAAUAAACCCAACACAGGCAGCUGAUUGGGGGUGAUCGCUAGCCUAAUCCUCGAACUCGUCGAAGUCCUGGAACUCCUGGAGAUCCGCCUCGACGCCUUCUUCUUUACCUGAGCAUAGAUUGCACCAAAGGCAACCUGGUGUUUUGUGAAAGCAAGGGUGAGUACACAUCAACGUACUCAGCAAAUGUCCUGUUUGGCUGAAGUGGACUAGCUUUAUGUGGGGUUAAGGUCGAAGCAGAUUGCUUUUAAUUGGUCAGGUAUUUAUUAUUAAUGGAAGCCAAGUUUUAUCAUAUAACCAACCCAUGAACCAUUUCCUCAUCGAGGAAACCUCAUUAUCAUCAUCGAACCGAAAUAAUAAAAAGAACCAUUGUAUCUCGAACCAUCGGUAUCUCUAAUCAAAGAGGAUCCCAAGGCCGCUCAUAACCGUGAGCACGGCUGAUAUAUCAGUUUCAUUACCCUCUGCAGAGGUCGCACACUUUACCCAUGAGCCGUGAUUCCCGUUUUGCCCGGGGAUCAUGACUCCCCAUUGAUCACUUCCUAGGUGGUCCGGCAGGGUAUCACUACGUAGCCUUUACAAAGAUUCCCUAGAGGUCAUAGUCGCCCGUUAGGUUUCUCCAGUUUGAUAAACACAGUACCUCUCCCCGCAGGAGAGUGACUAACAAAAGCAAAACGAAAGAACCUCGGCACUCAGCCUCGGCAGAGCAAGCACUGUGUCUGGACCCCAUUGACGGCAUGACGGCGAAGCAACUACACCUAUAGUUCCUCUAAUUAAUUAGCUAAGGGCAUCCCAUUUCACCCUCAUGGUUGCACUGUUAUCCCGGGUGGUCUCUCAACGAACAGGUCCUUACGGAGAGGUACUCGAGAAACCGUCCGAGUCCCCUAAAUGCCACAAGUCCAACAUCAUAAUCAUAGAGACAACAUCGUAUCAUAAAUGUUCACAUCAUGUUCAUUGAUUAAAGUAAAGCAAUAGCAUGAAGUUAACCAUAAUAAUCCAAAAGGUAAUCAAGGACAAGGUAAAUACAAAGCUAGUCAAUCCUUGUUGAUCAUGGUAUGCGGGUUGAUGAAUUAUAAAGUAAAUGGGACAUAAUAGGUCAGAGGACACUUGCCUUCACCAAACAGAUGCUCAGGAUCUUCAACCUCAUAAAACUCAGAGAGCUUGAUCACUUGGUCGCCGACGCUUGAUCGUCGAUUCCUCGGAGCGCGGAAACAAAUCGCGAUCU